UUAAACUUAUUUGGUUGUCCCUAGUUUUGCGUUUUUGUCCCACAUUAGUCCCCGAUUUAUUUUCUGUGUCAAUUAAGUUCCUAAUUGUGCAAAAUUGAUAGAAAUUAACCCUUGCCGUUAAAUCCAGUUAACGGGGUUAAGUUUUAAUUUACCUGUCCUGGUGAGCUGGCCACAGACCCUGACGUGGCGUGCGGAUGACCAUGUGACGUGUUAGAUUUAUUGGUCACGUGCCCCUUAACUUAAAAAUUUGGGGAUUUUAAUUAACAUUCUUUUAAAAUUAGGGUUAGUGUUAAAAAUUGGAUUUGGAUUGAUGUUCGCAAGCAGAGGUGAAAGUGAAUGUAUGUUUGCAAACAGAGAUAGAAAGAUGAUUUAGGGUUUGGUGUUGUUCAACAUUGUCAUUCGAAAGCAAUUGGAAAGCAAUUGAAGGUUGGAAGUUGGAAAUGAAGAAGCAAAGUGAUUUCGAACUUUCUGUCAUGCUUGAUCAAAUGUAAUUUUCGUGCUCGGUCAUUUUAUAUCGAGAGGGAAACCGGAAGAGGAAAGUGAUCUUAUAAAUAGAUCUUACUUUGCUAUCGGGUCUGGGAGAAUUGGACAACACUUUAUUUUAGCUUACAAAAGUUAAACCACUUUAAUUUUUUAUUUUAUUUUUCUCUUCAAGAUGGAGGUAUCUGUGGAGAAAUUUCUCACCUUGGUAUGUUUCAGUCUACUUGAUUUUAGUCAGUUUCACUUUGCUGAUAAACUGCAGUGGUUGAUGUAUGUCUUUUCCAAUUUUUCUUUGUUUCUGCAAUGGUUGUGGCUAUGAUGCCUCCAGUGAUACUGUUGAUUUAAUAUAGCAGAAAUUUUGACGAAUCUAGUCACGACACAUUUGAGAAUAAUAAUGAUUUGGAUUCGGGUGUGGGGUGGUGCUAUACAAAACUUCUAAUUUUAUUAUGGAAAUAAACAUGCUGACUUAUUUUAAUUGUGUUAGAAGAUAGUACAUGCAAUGGAG
rnacentral:lncRNA from 1 species